rnacentral:rRNA from 1 species
CCUACGGGGUGCAGCAGUGAGGAAUAUUGGUCAAUGGACGAGAGUCUGAACCAGCCAAGUAGCGUGAAGGAUGACUGCCCUAUGGGUUGUAAACUUCUUUUAUAUGGGAAUAAAAUGUUCCACGUGUGGGAUUUUGUAUGUACCAUAUGAAUAAGGAUCGGCUAACUCCGUGCCAGCAGCCGCGGUAAUACGGAGGAUCCGAGCGUUAUCCGGAUUUAUUGGGUUUAAAGGGCGCGUAGGUGGAUUGUUAAGUCAGUUGUGAAAGUUUGCGGCUCAACCGUAAAAUUGCAGUUGAAACUGGCAGUCUUGAGUACAGUAGAGGUGGGCGGAAUGCGUGGUGUAGCGGUGAAAUGCUUAGAUAUCACGAAGAACUCCGAUUGCGAAGGCAGUUCACUGGACUGCAACUGACACUGAGGCUCGAAAGUGUGGGUAUCAAACAGGAUUAGAUACCCGGGUAGUC